rnacentral:rRNA from 1 species
CGCAAGCCUGAUGCAGCGACGCCGCGUGGGGGAUGACGGCCUUCGGGUUGUAAACCUCUUUCAGCAUCGACGAAGCGCAAGUGACGGUAGAUGCAGAAGAAGCACCGGCCAACUACGUGCCAGCAGCCGCGGUAAUACGUAGGGUGCGAGCGUUGUCCGGAAUUACUGGGCGUAAAGAGCUCGUAGGUGGUUUGUCGCGUUGUCCGUGAAAACUCACAACUCAAUUGUGGGCGUGCGGGCGAUACGGGCAGGCUAGAGUACUGCAGGGGAGACUGGAAUUCCUGGUGUAGCGGUGGAAUGCGCAGAUAUCAGGAGGAACACCGGUGGCGAAGGCGGGUCUCUGGGCAGUAACUGACGCUGAGGAGCGAAAGCGUGGGGAGCGAACAGGAUUAGAUACCCUGGUAGUCCACGCCGUAAACGGUGGGUACUAGGUGUGGGUUUCCUUCCUUGGGAUCCGUGCCGUAGCUAACGCAUUAAGUACCCCGCCUGGGGAGUACGGCCGCAAGGCUA